GACGAACGCUGGCGGCGUGCUUAACACAUGCAAGUCGAACGGAAAGGCCCUGCUUGCAGGGUACUCGAGUGGCGAACGGGUGAGUAACACGUGGGUGAUCUGCCCUGCACUUCGGGAUAAGCCUGGGAAACUGGGUCUAAUACCGGAUAGGAGCCAUUUUUAGUGUGAUGGUUGGAAAGUUUUUUCGGUGUAGGAUGAGCUCGCGGCCUAUCAGCUUGUUGGUGGGGUAAUGGCCUACCAAGGCGGCGACGGGUAGCCGGCCUGAGAGGGUGGACGGCCACAUUGGGACUGAGAUACGGCCCAGACUCCUACGGGAGGCAGCAGUGGGGAAUAUUGCACAAUGGGCGCAAGCCUGAAGCAGCGACGCCGCGUGGGGGAUGACGGCCUUCGGGUUGUAAACUCCUUUCGCUAGGGACGAAGCUUUUUGUGACGGUACCUAGAUAAGAAGCACCGGCUAACUACGUG
rnacentral:rRNA from 1 species